rnacentral:lncRNA from 1 species
ACUCAAACUAAUGAAAGGGCUGGGCUGGCCUGAAAAGAACUCUGCCAUCAGUUCUUCCCCCCCCCCAUCCAGAAAAUAAAGACGAAGAAACCAACAGAAAGAAGGCAUUGUUUUAUUAUUAUUUAAAUCUUAUUCCACAAGAAACAAUGUUCACUAACAAGAUUUUUUAUUAUUAUUACAACUUGUAUUAAAUAACACUGUGUUAAAUAUAAAAUACUCAUUUAAAAAAACGCAUACGCGACAGAUGGUUUAAAAGACUGGACGUUUUGUUUUUCUGUGCCUUUUUUUAAAAAAAAUCACUCAAGAUUUCAUCACAGACAUUCUUCUGAAGUUACAAAUUCGUGAAAUGUUAGUAGAAAACAACAGGACAAUCAAAAUAACCCAUUCUCACCCUGAUUUUACAAAGCAUAGAAAUAUCCAGAAAUUUAUAUAUCAAGACUUCAAGAAAUCCAAUUAAAAAUAGCAGCAGGAGUGGGAGGUUUUUAACUGUUCUGGGGCAGCCGCAGAUUGACCUUAUGCACCAAAGAGGUAUAGAUCCUUGCUGGACGCCAUACCUUUUAACACAUUGCCCAGAAAUUUGCAUGGCUUGAUUCAAAGUGCAUUACAGUGAAGUGAACGACACCAAAGUGCAUUGGAGUGCAUUAUGCCAUUUUUUCUCUCUUUAGUGCCAGAUAUUUUCUUAUCUCCUUCCGUGUGAGAAAUGCUCUAAAAGGGAAGGAAUGACAGUAGUGCCUAAGAGCGCAGUCCCAUCAGGUCCUCCCAUGUUCGUGGCUGGAAGGUGUUGGGGAUGAUGUAUUAGUUUAUCUCUGCCAGCAGAGAAGAAUACUUCCAAGUGGUGGACUCCAGAGGGAUAAUAACGUAAUGGUGGUGCAGGCAGAGUGAAAACUGCCACCGUUAUUCUCCCACCAGUCGUAGCAGAUAGAAAGCCUCAAAAUCCAGUAUUCCAAUUUGUCAGCAUUUCUGUCCGUUGGUAAGGAGGUGACUAUAAUAAAUACAAGAUCCAUUAAAUGGAAUAACCCCGG